UACGAAGGGGGCUAGCGUUGUUCGGAUUUACUGGGCGUAAAGGGCGCGUAGGCGGCAAUUCAAGUCAUCUGUGAAAUCUCCGGGCUUAACCCGGAACGGUCAGAUGAUACUGCUUUGCUAGAGUGCGGAAGGGGCAAUCGGAAUUCUUGGUGUAGCGGUGAAAUGCGUAGAUAUCAAGAGGAACACCUGAGGUGAAGACGGGUUGCUGGGCCGACACUGACGCUGACAGCGCGAAAGCCAGGGGAGCAAACGGG
rnacentral:rRNA from 1 species